AUAUUUACCUGGACGGGGUUAAUGGGCGAACAAGAAGACCCAUGACCUAGGUUGGUGACUUUCAUUGCACUUUGGAAGAGUAUUAGUCUAUGGUCUACCUAAGUGGUAGAGCCUACGUCAUAAUUUGUGGUAAUGGGGACCUGUGUUCGCGCGGUCCCUA